rnacentral:rRNA from 1 species
GCAUAUCAAUAAGCGGAGGAAAAGAAACCAACAGGGAUUUGCCUUAGUAGCGGCGAGUGAAGCGGCAAAAGCUCAAAUUUGAAAUCUGGCUCUUUCAGAGUCCGAGUUGUAAUUUGAAGAAGGUAUCUUUGGGUCUGGCUCUUGUCUAUGUUUCUUGGAACAGAACGUCACAGAGGGUGAGAAUCCCGUGCGAUGAGAUGAUCCAGGCCUAUGUAAAGUUCCUUCGAAGAGUCGAGUUGUUUGGGAAUGCAGCUCUAAGUGGGUGGUAAAUUCCAUCUAAAGCUAAAUAUUGGCGAGAGACCGAUAGCGAACAAGUACAGUGAUGGAAAGAUGAAAAGAACUUUGAAAAGAGAGUGAAAAAGUACGUGAAAUUGUUGAAAGGGAAGGGCUUGAGAUCAGACUUGGUAUUUUGUAUGUUACUUCUUCGGGGGUGGCCUCUACAGUUUAUCGGGCCAGCAUCAGUUUGGGCGGUAGGAGAAUUGCGUUGGAAUGUGGCACGGCUUCGGUUGUGUGUUAUAGCCUUCGUCGAUACUACCAGCCUAGACUGAGGACUGCGGUUUAUACCUAGGAUGUUGGCAUAAUGAUCUUAAGUCGCCCGUCUUGAAACACGGGACC